rnacentral:rRNA from 1 species
AGCGAACGCUGGCGGCAGGCUUAACACAUGCAAGUCGAGCGGGCCCUUCGGGGUUUGCGGCGGACGGGUGAGUAACGCGUGGGAACGUGCCUUCUGGUUAGGUAUAACUCACGGUAACAUGAGUUAAUAACGGAUAGGCCCUUUUGGGGAAAGGUUUACUGCGGGAUGAUCGGGGCGGGUCUGAUUGGCUAGUUGGUGGUGUAUUGGCCUCCCAAUGCGACGUUCAGGAGCUGGUCUGUGAGGAUGAUCAGGCACACUGGGACUGAGACACGGCCCACACUCCGACGGAAGGCAGCAGUGGAGAGUAUUGUACAAGGAGCGCAAGCCUGAUCCAGCCAUGCCGCGUGAGUGAUGAAGGCCUUAGUGUUGUAAAGCUCUUUUAGCCGGGACGAUAAUGACGGUACCGGAUGAAUAAGCCCCGGCUAACUUCGUG